rnacentral:rRNA from 1 species
GAUGAACGCUGGCGGCGUGCCUAAUACAUGCAAGUCGAGCGAACGGACGAGAAGCUUGCUUUUCUGAUGUUAGCGGCGGACGGGUGAGUAACACGUGGAUAACCUACCUAUAAGACUGGGAUAACUUCGGGAAACCGGCGCUUAUACCGGAUAAUAUCUUGAACCGCAUGGUUCAAAAGUGAAAGACGGUCUUGCUGUCACUUAUAGAUGGAUCCGCGCUGCGUUAGCUAGUUGGUAAGUUCACGGGCUACCGAGGGAACGAUGCGUAGCCGACCGGAUAGGGGGAUCGGCCACACUGGAACUGAGACACGGUCCAGACUCCUACGGGAGGCAGCAGUAGGGAAUGUGCGGCAAUGGGCGAAAGCCUGACGGAGCAGCGCCGCGUGAGUGAUGAAGGUCUUCGGAUCGUAAAGCUCUGUUAUUAGGUAAGAACAUAUGUGUAAGUAACUGUGCACAUCUUGACGGUACCUAAUCAGAAAGCCACGGCUAACUACGUG